rnacentral:rRNA from 1 species
UACAGAGGUCUCAAGCGUUGUUCGGAUUCAUUGGGCGUAAAGGGUGCGUAGGCGGCGCGGUAAGUCGGGUGUGAAAUCUCGGAGCUUAACUCCGAAACUGCAUUCGAUACUGCCGUGCUUGAGGACUGGAGAGGAGACUGGAAUUUACGGUGUAGCGGUGAAAUGCGUAGAUAUCAGGAGGAACACCGGUGGGCGAAGGCGGUUCUCUGGGCAUGUUCUGACGCUGAGGAGCGAAAGUGUGGGGAGCGAACAGG